rnacentral:rRNA from 1 species
GAUGAACGCUGGCGGCGUUCCUAAUACAUGCAAGUCGAGCGAACGGACGAGAAGCUUGCUUCUCUGAUGUUAGCGGCGGACGGGUGAGUAACACGUGGAUAACCUACCUAUAAGACUGGGAUAACUUCGGGAAACCGGAGCUAAUACCGGAUGAUAUUUUGAACCGCAUGGUUCAAAAGUGAAAGACGGUCUUGCUGUCACUUAUAGAUGGAUCCGCGCUGCAUUAGCUGGUUGGUAAGGUAACGGCUUACCAAGGCAACGAUGCAUAGCCGACCUGAGAGGGUGAUCGGCCACACUGGAACUGAGACACGGUCCAGACUCCUACGGGAGGCAGCAGUAGGGAAUCUUCCGCAAUGGGCGAAAGCCUGACGGAGCAACGCCGCGUGAGUGAUGAAGGUCUUCGGAUCGUAAAACUCUGUUAUUAGGGAAGAACAUAUGUGUAAGUAACUGUGCACAUCUUGACGGUACCUAAUCAGAAAGCCACGGCUAACUACGUG